AACGAACGCUGGCGGCAUGCCUAACACAUGCAAGUCGAACGAGACCUUCGGGUCUAGUGGCGCACGGGUGCGUAACGCGUGGGAACCUGCCCUUAGGUUCGGAAUAACUCCCCGAAAGGGGUGCUAAUACCGGAUAAUGUCUUCGGACCAAAGAUUUAUCGCCUUUGGAUGGGCCCGCGUUGGAUUAGCUAGUUGGUAGGGUAAAAGCCUACCAAGGCGACGAUCCAUAGCUGGUCUGAGAGGAUGAUCAGCCACACUGGGACUGAGACACGGCCCAGACUCCUACGGGAGGCAGCAGUGGGGAAGAUUGGACAAUGGGCGAAAGCCUGAUCCAGCAAUGCCGCGUGAGUGAUGAAGGCCUUAGGGUUGUAAAGCUCUUUUACCCGGGAUGAUAAUGACAGGACCGGGAGAAGAAACUCCGGCUAACUCCGU
rnacentral:rRNA from 1 species